rnacentral:rRNA from 1 species
UGGGGAAUUUUGGACAAUGGGCGAAAGCCUGAUCCAGCAAUGCCGCGUGUGUGAAGAAGGCCUUCGGGUUGUAAAGCACUUUUGUCCGGAAAGAAAUCCUUGGCUCUAAUACAGUCGGGGGAUGACGGUACCGGAAGAAUAAGCACCGGCUAACUACGUGCCAGCAGCCGCGGUAAUACGUAGGGUGCAAGCGUUAAUCGGAAUUACUGGGCGUAAAGCGUGCGCAGGCGGUUUGCUAAGACCGAUGUGAAAUCCCGGGCUCAACCUGGGAACUGCAUUGGUGACUGGCAGGCUAGAGUAUGGCAGAGGGGGGUAGAAUUCCACGUGUAGCAGUGAAAUGCGUAGAGAUGUGGAGGAAUACCGAUGGCGAAGGCAGCCCCCUGGGCCAAUACUGACGCUCAUGCACGAAAGCGUGGGGAGCAAACAGGAUUAGAUACCCUGGUAGUCCACGCCCUAAACGAUGUCAACUAGUUGUUGGGGAUUCAUUUCCUUAGUAACGUAGCUAACGCGUGAAGUUGACCGCCUGGGGAGUACGGUCGCAAGAUUAAAACUC